GACGGUGUUUGGUCGAUACGAACCAGAUCGGUGAAGGAAUCGAAGACGUGGAAGGGGGGAGGCGGAAGAGGACGAUGGGAUAAGAGGUCAAAGGCGAAAUCGAAAUCAUCAACUUCAUCGACGAAGGAUUGGAAGGGGAAUGAGAGAGGUUUGGGGAGGAUAAUGGAGGUUUCGGCAUCGGUAAGUAGCAGAGAAGGACAGUGGGAGUAGUAGGGGUCAAUGGACUGAAAUCUACUGAAUCUGCUGAAUCUGCUCAUGGUUUGAAGGUGGAGAAAGGUUAAUGGAGGAGAAAGGGAAAAUGGGUUUGUAUUGAAAGUGAAAGAUCUGCACUUUGGAGAAGGGUAAGGUUGGUUUUUUUGUGGAGAGGUCUGAAAUGGUGGGCUUCAACUCAGCAGCAGAAAGAAGAAGAAGACAAUGGUUUGAAAGGAUCGAGAG
rnacentral:lncRNA from 1 species